rnacentral:misc_RNA from 1 species
CUUCGUCCAGACAUUGAUGGAUGACGUAACGCCGGCUAAAGGUUGAGGCGUCGUUCUGUCCCAGCCAGGUCGUGCACUUUAUUGGGCAGUAACUUUGUGGUCACAACUUGGGAGGACAUUCGUCAACACUCAUCGAUUAACAGCCAUAUUAAUGACUUACUGGUUCCCAUCAACAUUAUGGAAAAGAACAAAAACCACCAGAAAUCGUAGCAAUCUUUUAGGAAUUCUGUGUAAAGCAGUAAAAUGACUGUAAAUAUCCUAUAAUCACGCAAUAUGUGUCCAAUAAUAUUACUGUUUGUUUACAUGCUUUACUGUGCAUAUUGGUGUUUUAUGCUGAAGGAUAAGUUUUCUUUGUAAAAUAGUGUUUUAUAUCAUGGACAUGAUUUAUUACUAGGCAUUGCUUUGUUAGUUUUUCUAUUUUAUUCCCUUUUAACAGAAACUUUACUUUUGAGCACGUUCUACUUUAAUUUUUUAAUUUUUCCGUUCUAGCUGAUUGGUCUAGGCACUGUGGGUCUGGGGGUCUGGGCGUUGUUAGACGACGACAGGAUCCUCAUUCUGACCGAGGUGGGCGACUCCGGAAGUUUCGAUGUAGUCUCCCUUAUCCGCACGGGGGCGCUUGUUCUGAUUGCCAGUGGCGGAGUGGCUGUUCUGAUCGGAUUUCUGGGAUGCUGUGGAGCCGUCAAAGAGAAUAACUGUCUUCUGUUUGCUUAUUGUGUGGUAAUGGUCGUGAUCCUUUUUGUUCAAAUAGCAGCAGUGGUUAUAGCUGCCAUAUUUCAAAGCAAAGUGACAGAAGAUUUGAAGGCCUUUUUAAAAUCUCGACUGAGUGCCCAGUACGACGGGGAUGUGAAGACGGGGGACCCUUUUUCUCUGGGGUUGGAUGUGGCCCAACUUCAGUUUGAAUGCUGUGGCAUAGACAACUACAUGGAUUUUCUCUCCGCCACCAGGUGGCAGGACAAGAAGAAUACGUCAGACAUCAUCCCUCUCACGUGUUGCAAAUUCACCAAUAAGGAAUCUUUUUACAAAGAUGUUAAUUCCUUGAAUAUGGAUGACACUUCAUGUCAAACUUCCCCCUCUGAUGAAAACUCUAACUUUCGAAAGGUUGCUGGAACGCCAUAUUAGAAUACGCCAAUGAUAAAGCAAUCUACGUCAUCGCCAUUGGGGUUGCGAUAGGAGUCGUGGAGGUGCUGUGUGUGGUGGUAGCAGUCUGUCUCAUUCAGGCUGUUCGGAAGUCGGAUGAGGAGGAAUCCCAGUAGUUCCCACGGGAAACAUGUCGUAGCAAGCAACGUUAUUCACUGUGCAAAAAUUAGUCAUAUUGUGUCGUAACGUAAACGUUUUACUCGCAUUUUUGCUCAUGACAGAAAAGUUUGCUUUGUGACUCGCCUACAACACAUCGUUCAUCGUUUCCCAAAGAUUUGCUCUUUGGAUCAUUUAAUAUGUAUAUAUUUAUAUCAUACAUCCCCAUAAUGAAGUCCCAUGCAGAUCGGAGGUUAAACCCAUGUGACCUUUAUGUAGUAAUCAUUUCAGAUUAAUAUAGUUGAUUGUAAUGACGUGUGAAAAUCGCAUGUUUUAUAAUUUUUCUCUAAUAUAGCCACAAAACU